CGCGCGCGUCUCUACACGUCCGUGCUAGCGGGCGCGCGCGCUGGUGAUCAGCUGGACGGCAUGUCAGCCAAUGAAGAGUACGACACUCGAGUGCCAGACGAUCCACUGCCAGAGGACGAGGUCCAACUGACCGAGGAACUCCAAAUCAUUCUCCCCCCACGAUGCGAUGACGUCACUGCAGAAUCAUCCGCCACCGCCUCCAUAGAAAGCUGACCAAGACGACUCGCCAAGUGAACUCGAUACCGUCUGUAAGACGAUGCAACAAGGUUCAUAUUCUAAUGAAAAUUCGCUUAAAACGCCGUUGUAUCGGCCUGAAAACGAAAUUGAAAAUUAAUAGGCUGAUACGGAAUUAUAGAAAGAAAUUAGGUCGACUUUUUAUGUUCAUAGAUUGGAUUAUUCAAGAUAUUCUUACAAAAUAUAAUAAUAAAUAAGUGA